UGAUGACGAGACGCUAAGGCGUUGAAGCAGUGUAUGUCAGACUUCCAAGAAAAGCUCGCAAUGUCAUAGAUAAAAAAUGCCUGUACCAUAACCGACACAGGUGGGUAGGUAGAGUAUACUAAGGGGCGCGAGAUAACUCUCUCUAAGGAACUCGGCAAAAUGACUCCGUAACUUCGGGAGAAGGAGUGCCUUAUUUAUAAGGUUGCAAUAACAAGAUCCAAGCAACUGUUUAUCAAAAACACAGGUCUCCGCUAAGUCGUAAGACGAUGUAUGGGGGCUGACGCCUGCCCAGUGCCAGAAGGUUAAAGAAGUUGGUUAGUGUAUGCGAAGCUGAUGACUGAAGCCCUGGUGAACGGCGGCCGUAACAAUAACGGUCCUAAGGUAGCGAAAUUCCUUGUCGGGUAAGUUCCGACCCGCACGAAAGGCGUAAUGAUUUGGAUACUGUCUCGGAGAGAGGCUCGGUGAAAUAGACUUGUCUGUGAAGAUGCGGACUACCUGCACCAGGACAGAAAGACCCUAUGAAGCUUUACUGUAACUUGAAAUUGGAAUUGGACUUUGCUUGCGCAGUAUAGGUGGGAAGCGUUGAAGAUAUUCUUGCGGGAGUAUUGGAGCUAUCAGUGAGAUACCACUCUUGUAAUGUUAGAUUUCUAACUUUGAACCAUAAUCUGGUCAAAGAACAGUUUCAGGUGGGCAGUUUGACUGGGGCGGUCGCCUCCCAAAUGGUAACGGAGGCGUACAAAGGUUUCCUCUGAACGGAUAGAAAUCGUAUCUAGAGUGUAAAGGCAUAAGGAAGCUUGACUGUGAGACCUACAAGUCGAGCAGGGACGAAAGUCGGUCUUAGUGAUCUGACGGUACUGAGUGGAAAGGCCGUCACUCAACGGAUAAAAGUUACUCUAGGAUAACAGGCUGAUCUCCCCCAAGAGUUCACAUCGACGGGGAGGUUUGGCACCUCGAUGUCGGCUCAUCGCAUCCUGGGGCGGUAGUACGUCCCAAGGGUUGGGCUGUUCGCCCAUGAAAGCGGUACGCGAGCUGGGUUCAGAACGUCGUGAGACAGUUCGGUCCAUAUCCGGUGUAGGCGCUAGAAUAUUGAGAGGAGCCUUCUUUAGUACGAGAGGACCGAGAAGGACACACCGCUGGUGUACCAGUUAUCGUGCCAACGGUAAACGCUGGGUAGCUAUGUGUGGAGUGGAUAACCGCUGAAAGCAUCUAAGUGGGAAGCCCACCUCAAGAUGAG
rnacentral:rRNA from 1 species